GCGUUGUCCGGAAUUAUUGGGCGUAAAGCGCGCGCAGGCGGUCCUUUAAGUCUGAUGUGAAAGCCCACGGCUCAACCGUGGAGGGUCAUUGGAAACUGGGGGACUUGAGUGCAGAAGAGAAGAGUGGAAUUCCACGUGUAGCGGUGAAAUGCGUAGAGAUGUGGAGGAACACCAGUGGCGAAGGCGACUCUUUGGUCUGUAACUGACGCUGAGGCGCGAAAGCGUG
rnacentral:rRNA from 1 species